UGCAGAAUGAACAAACCUAUGUAAUCUA
rnacentral:piRNA from 1 species